GGACAAGGCAGGCUCUGUUCGUUCGGCGUCUGUUCGACGCUCUCGAACCGGCCAAAAGGAUCGGGCUCGGGGCGUGACAUAAACAUUUUUGUAUAAGUUAUAUUUUUAUUCCCUCAUUUUCUAUAUAAGCUAAGAUACUUAUCCCUUCAAGAAAAUAAAGACCUUUUUAGAUCAUAUAUCAAUCUAAUUUUAUAAACAUCUUAUAUCAGUUAAUAAAAAGAGUCAUGAAAGUAGAAAAAAAGUAAGCAUAUGAAAAGUUAUAUAAUAAAUUUUUAAGAGACAAAAAGAUAUACAACCUAACACAACCAAAUACAGUAAAUAUAAUACAGAACUUUACUUUCGGAAAAAAAAAUAUAAAAAACAAAGGAUAGAAAAAGAAAAAACAAUAAAUCUUUAACAUAACAAACAUAUUAGUUUGAAUACCAUGCAAAUAAAAAAAAACUUAAAAAAACUGAAUAAAACUAUCUAAGAAAUUUCAACGAUACAACAUAAAGAAUACAUAAAUCUUUUAAAAUAACUCCUGAAAUUUGAAGGAAAGCUCGAUUUGAUGAAGAUGACAACGCUAAGCUUGGCGAUGCAGCAUGCAAACUUAUACUCUAUCCACAUAACGUGCUUGAUCUUAGCCUCGGAGCUCAUGGAGGAGGAAAAGAAAGUAGAAAAGAAGAGAUGAUUUACUGUUUAGAUUAGGAUUAAAGUAGGUGAACCACUAAUUAGACGUUAUGUUUGUAGGAAAGGUGAAGGGUUGGACUAAGGUGAGCGAACUAUUAAUUAGAUGUUAUAGGUGCAGGGAAGUCGACGUUAUGUGUAUAGGAAAGAUGAAGGGUUGGGUUAAGGUUAGUGGAUAGGUUAGUGGAUUAUUAAUUAGACGUUAUAGGUGAAGGGAAGGCAAAGAGUUGGUUUCGCUGAAGGAAGGAAACUCCACCACGUGGCUUUUUUUUGGGGGAAUAAUGUAUAGGUAUAGAUUUUGACAUGCUAGAAUUUAUGAGAAUAUAAUAUAUACAUGUUAUGUA
rnacentral:lncRNA from 1 species